GGAGGGGUGGCCGAGCGGUCGAAGGCGCACGCUUGGAAAGCGUGUAUGCAGGCAACUGUAUCGUGGGUUCGAAUCCCAUCCCCUCCGCCA
rnacentral:tRNA from 1 species